rnacentral:rRNA from 1 species
AGCGAACGCUGGCGGCGUGCUUAACAUAUGCAAGUCGAGUGCGCGGUUCGUAGCAAUACGAACUGGCGCACGGCGCACGGGUGAGGAACACGUGGGCAACAUGCCCUCCGAUGGGGAAUAACCCGCCGAAAGGCGGGCUAAUACCGCAUACGAUUCCGGGGACCUCGGUUCCUGGACUGAAAGCCCGCAAGGGCGUCGGUGGAGUGGCCCGCGGCCGAUUAGCUUGUGGCGGGGUAACGCCACCAGGCAUGAUCGGUAGCCGGUCUGAGAGGAUGAUCGGCCACACUGGAACUGAGACACGGUCCAGACUCCUACGGGAGGCAGCAGUGGGGAAUCUUGCGCAAUGGGCGAAAGCCUGACGCAGCGACGCCGCGUGGGGAUGAAGCCUUUCGGGGCGU